UUAAUGGAGAGUUUGAUCCUGGCUCAGGACGAACGCUGGCGGCGUGCCUAAUACAUGCAAGUCGAGCGGAGUUAUGAAGGAGCUUGCUCUGGAUUAACUUAGCGGCGGACGGGUGAGUAACACGUAGGCAACCUGCCCUUCAGACUGGGAUAACUACCGGAAACGGUAGCUAAUACCGGAUAAUUCCUU
rnacentral:rRNA from 1 species